rnacentral:rRNA from 1 species
UACAGAGACUGCGAGCGUUAUUCGGAUUCACUGGGCGUAAAGGGUGCGCAGGCGGCCAAGUGUGUGAGGCGUGAAAGCCUGGAGCUUAACUCCAGAAUUGCACCUCAAACUACUUGGCUAGAGCAUUGGAGAGGGUAGUGGAAUUCCCGGUGUAGCGGUGAAAUGCGUAGAUAUCGGGAGGAACAUCAGUGGCGAAGGCGGCUACCUGGCCCAAUACUGACACUCAGGUGCGACAGCGUGGGGAGCAAACAGG